rnacentral:rRNA from 1 species
GCCAGCAGCCAUAUCACCCUGCAACGUUGGUAGCCCACUGAAGCUCAGCAGGUGUGAGCCUGGUCAGUACCUGGAUGGGAGACCUCCUGGGAAAAACUAAGGUUGCUGCUGGAA